GCCGAUUCGGACGGUGCGGAAAAGUACGCGACCAGCAGCAAAUUGAGGCACACAAUCCGAACGUUUUCAAGUUUUCAAAUCGCUGCGUUUCGCGUUCGCAAAGAGACUGACUCGGAUUCGAAUUCAGAUUCACAUUCAGAGCAGUUGCAAAGUUUAUUUCGGCAGCAUCCCAAACGGAAUGGCGGAAAAUCAAUACGUGCUCACGGGCCCGGUGCUCUGGCCGCAUCGAGAGUCAAGAGAGGACAGCCGCAGCCACAGCCACGACAGGCCCACCCCGGAGAGAGGAGAGCACAGCGGAAUGGCGGAACGGCAGCUGGACCCACUCCAUUCCUCCUCGUCGUCGUCGCCGCCAUUCUGCCAUCCUCGGGCAGUCGGCUCGGGUGGUGGUUGUUCCGAAAGUGGCGCAAAUGAGGCCAAAGACCCCGGUUAGCAACCCUUAAGGAGGCCCAGAUAAACAAUCAUUAGGUGAACAUGAGUGGCAUUCGCCAAAUGGAUGACACACAAAACUCGGAAGCUGCUUGUGAAAUGAGAGUUUUAGUAAUUCAGAGCAGACAUUACCAGUCGAGUAUUAAACAUAAUCUCAAUAUUAUAAGAGCA